UACGUAGGGUGCAAGCGUUGUCCGGAAUUAUUGGGCGUAAAGAGCUCGUAGGCGGUCUGUUACGUCGGCUGUGAAAACCUGGGGCUCAACCCCGGGCCUGCAGCCGAUACGGGCAGACUAGAAUUCGGUAGGGGAGACUGGAAUUCCUGGUGUAGCGGUGAAAUGCGCAGAUAUCAGGAGGAACACCGGUGGCGAAGGCGGGUCUCUGGGCCGAUAUUGACGCUGAGGAGCGAAAGUGUGGGGAGCGAACAGG
rnacentral:rRNA from 1 species